GACGAACGCUGGCGGCGUGCUUAACACAUGCAAGUCGAACGGAAAGGCCCUGCUUUUGUGGGGUGCUCGAGUGGCGAAGGGGUGAGUAACACGUGAGUAACCUGCCCUUUACUUUGGGAUAACUUCAGGAAACUGGGGCUAAUACCGGAUAGGAGCUCCUGCUGCAUGGUGGGGGUUGGAAAGUUUCGGCGGUUGGGGAUGGACUCGCGGCUUAUCAGCUUGUUGGUGGGGUAGUGGCUUACCAAGGCUUUGACGGGUAGCCGGCCUGAGAGGGUGACCGGCCACAUUGGGACUGAGAUACGGCCCAGACGGCUACGGUAGGCAGCAGUGGGGAAUAUUGCACAAUGGGCGGAAGCCUGAUGCAGCAACGCCGCGUGCGGGAUGACGGCCUUCGGGUUGUAAACCGCUUUCGCCUGUGACGAAGCGUGAGUGACGGUAAUGGGUAAAGAAGCACCGGCUAACUACGUG
rnacentral:rRNA from 1 species